rnacentral:lncRNA from 1 species
CUCGUAACUGGGGAAAGCCCACUUAAUGCGCAAGAUAGGAAGUUUAAUUUACCAACAUGGCGAACUUGGUAAGAAACCUGACUUGCAAUUUUGAUUGAAAUGAUUUCAAAGCGGCUUGCGCUUAUAAAUGCUGUUUUAAUUGAUGAGAAUAGACAAUUUUAUUGUUUCCUGACUCUGAAAACAACACAAAUUAUUUUCACUUUCACCCAAGUCAGAAGUAGUUGUUUCCCGUGCGAAUAAAAUUAUUUUGAUGACCAUUUCUUUUGAAGCUUUCAGUGAUAUUGUUGGCCUUUUUCAAAACUACCUCUACCCUUUUUUAUUGGGAAAAUAUGCGUAAUAUACAUCAAAUUGGGAAUUUUAGAAUAAACCAUAAAUUUGACUGAAAGUUAAAUUUACAGACCCCAUUUCCAGUCUUCAUGAUUAGUGGCAGCCCAGGCUUGUAAAAUUGCUCUUGGGCCUGUAAAAUUCAUAUCUACAGGCCAACAGAUUCUAACUAAAAAUUUUCAAAAAUUGAGCUCCUUGCCUGUAGAUUUAACGGUUCAUCGUGAAGACUACAUUUCAAGAGUCAAAUCCUGCUUUGAAAUAAGACCUCUUUUUGUCAGUGGUGAUACAUAAACAGAAAUAGACCUUCAAAUCUGCACAUACAUGUAUAGUAAUUAAGGCAUGAAAAAAAGUAUAAAUGAGUGUUUUUUUAGUUUGAAUUCAUGCACAAGUUGACUGAAACUGCACUGUUUGGGAAAAUAGUUGUCUUUUUGGGAAUAAUUUUAAGCCAUUUUUAAUUUCAAAUUGUGAUUCUUCUCCAGGGGAAAAAGCCUUUAUUCUCCAUUAAUUUAAGGCAAACAAUAUCACUGGCUUUUGAGACGUUUCGGCCACACAACCAGUUCGACCACAUGUAGUUUCUUUCACAGGACUAGUUCGACCACGUUCGUUCGACCACAGUUGUAAAGGCAAAAAUCGGUGUGCCAACAUUUGAUCUAUUUAUCUAUCUUCAUAUUUCCACACUCAGUCACAACUUUGACUAUUACGUGCCAUUUCAUUGCAUUGGUGAAUAGAAAAAAAUAAAGCUGGGCUCACACUACUUCAGAAUUAUAGGGAGAAGUGACUUCUCUUUUUGAAACUGAUAGGGCCGAGAAAAAAAAGAUCCGUGUUUCCGGUAACCCGACCGACCCUGUUUUUUUAGCCCCGACCCUAACUUUUUUAUUGGAUCUUCCAAAAAAAAAAAAAAAAAAAAAAUUUAUCAACCGACCCUGUUUUUGACACAGGCUUCUGAUAGAUGACAUGAUAUUUUUUCUCUCUUGCUUCCUCUUGCAUAGAAAGCCAGUAAAACAUUUUAUUAAUGUCAAAAGGUAUUCCAAAUACAUGUAGGUUAAAAUCCAAGAAAUUUGCACAGCAGGUGCUUCAAAAACAUUGCAAAUGGCACACUUCCGGUUUUUGAAACUAAUUACGGAUCCGGACUUGGAAAAAACAUGAUAAAUUUUCCGGAUUUCAUUUACGAUGUCAAAAAAAAAAAAAAAAAAAAAAAAAAAAGAAUUCCGACCUACCGACCCUAUUUUUCAAAAUGAUGUUACCGGAAACAGAUAUCUUUUUUUUUUAGGCCUAGGGAGAAAUGGUGAGAUUUGAAAGAGAAGUGCUCAUUCGUGCGGUGCGCUACAAUGUUUGGAUUUUACUAUAGUAUAAAGGGUCAUAUGUAAAUGUUCCGGACCAUAUGAGUAUUUGGACCAUACGCGUAUGGUCAUGACCAUAUGGGUAUAUACUCAUAUGGUCCGACCAUACGCGUAUGGUCGGGGUAAUUAACACUCUGUUACAGUUUACUUGUAAUACUUCUAACCUCUUCAUAUGGUAUGACCGUUCAUUCAAAAGACGCUAUCAUAUAGGUAAUUUUAUCGUUAUAUUAUAAUAAAAAGAUAAGCUAAAUAAAAAUAAGAAGUUUCACAUUGUUAAUUUUACGUAAUUGUCAAAUUUAAAGUAAACACAUUUUAUACCGAUGGUCAUUACCGAUGGUCAUAACCGAUUUGUUAUUACGAGUAAAUGGCAAUAUGUCGACUAAAAAAUUAAAUUCCAAAAAUUUCUUAAUGAACUGUUACAUAAGAAGUCACUGGAAAGUAGCAUACUAUUAGUUUAUUUAAGUUGUGUUGUGAAGAUGGUGUAUUGCAGUCAACCACUUUACGAUAUUUGAGAUCUAGAGCUUCUUAAAAACACUGUAGACAUCAGAAUUGCCAAAGACCUCGGUAUCACUGUACGCAGCUGCAAAAAAAAGGCUUGUUUUUUCACUCGCAAACAAAAUGUGUAAAUGAAAAAGAUCGUGCACAAAACUUGCAAAUGCAAAAAAGCUAUGAUACCGUGUGGAAGUGAAUGUCAUCCAAGCCUACAUGCACUAAUGUAACUAGCGAUGAAAACUAACUAUGGCAUCAAUAUUAAAUUUUUACGUAGUUUUUUUUUAUUAUAAAAUUAAAAAAUUGUCAUGUUUUAAACCAUCACUGUUUUUUUUAGAUAAAGUUCUUGUAUUAUUGAAACGUUUAUAAUGUAAUUUGGAAAAAUAAAUAUACCUAUAUGGUCCAAAUACUCAUAUGGUCCGGCCCGUUAAUAACCAAACGAGUAUUAUACUCAUAUGGUCCGACCAUACGCGUAUGGUCGGACCAUAUGAGUAUACGCAUAUGGUCAUGACCAUACGCGUAUGGUCCAAAUACUCAUAUGGUCCGGAACAUAAAUAAAGUUCUUUUUAUAUUAUUCAAUUCAUAUCUGAGUAUACAAUUAAAGUAACAUUUCAAAUUAAAAGUUGUUUAAGUUUAACUAAGGUUUUGAGAAACUACAAACUAAAUAUUUAUAUCUAGCACUAAAAAAAAUUUUUUUUAUUUUAAAAAAUGUAAAGAAAUUAUAAUAUAUAUCAAUUACGAUUUAAUUCAAAUCUAUCUUGUGUAUGAAAUUCAGUGCUUCUCAUAAAAAAAUAUAAAAGUUAUUAAGCUGGGCCAUAAUAUAAUUAAUAGUCUCAGAGUUAAGCAACUUUGAAACAAUCCAUAAAAAAUAUAGGGAAUUAUAUACACCAAUCAAUUAGAUGUAACCAAAAAUCUCUUAAUGCUUGUGGAAUAUGUAAUUUUUCCCUUUGGGAUCAAUAUUCUUCUGUCAGCUGUUCCAUCCGUGCGUCCGUAGUUAUUACUGUAAAAGUACGGAUUUCGGUCAUAGCUGGUCCGGUUCAGAUCCGUAGUUUAGAAAUCGGUCAAUGGCGGACGAAUGCAAGAAAAUUUACAAAAAUAAACGAUGUUUGACAAGUUAUUUGGAAAGGAACAUGACGUUUUUAAUGCAAUAAAUGGAUUGAACUUUUACUUUAGGCAACUUUAAUCACGUUUAAAUGAAGUAACAAACUUAUUUUGCCGCCGAAAUUUAGGUUGAUGUACGUUUUCGAGUAACAACCACCGGAACUCGCGGAAAUGCACGAAGUGAUAAAAAGUUGUAUUUUUAUCAAAUAACCUGCUACACACUGCAAAGACAAUGCUUCAACCUCUUUUCUUAAGAUAAUCAAUCGUUUAGGUCUAAAUUUCUUUAAUUAUCAAUAAAAAAUUGAUGAUUCAUCAACUUGGAAAAUAUUGAAAAUGUCCGAUGACGGAAGCGACUGAAAGCGAGUAUCGUCAAGAACAGGGCAACUUGUUUUUCGCUUUUGGGGGUCGGGGAAAGCGAAUUGACGGUCGGGAAAGCGACUUCUUCGCCCAAGUCGCCUGGUAGCGUGAGCCCUGUAAAGUAAAAAUAUAACAUUGAUUUAAUUAAAUUUUGUUGUGGAUUGUUAUCCUAUGUACAUGAUGUAUAUUAAAGUUAAGAAGAUGAAACUAAAGGCUAAAGCAAACAUUGAUUAUUAAAUAAAAGUAUAUUAUUGAUGUAUUUUAUGACUUAUAAAUGAUUUACAGCUGAAAGCAGAUAAGUUCAUUAAAAACUUUAAAAAUUUAGUGUGUACAUCCAAUAUGACGACCACGGACAUCACAAUGGACGCUAUGUUCUCUGUACACAUUAAAUUUAAAAUGAUCUUUAUGAACUUAUCUGCUUUCUGAAAAUCAUUUUUGAGUUAUAAGAUACAUCGAUAAUAUACUAUUAUUUAAUAAUCAAUGUUUAAAAGUCACCAAUAUGAACUAAUAUUAAAAUUUCAAGUGUUAUUCGGUCAUUACAAGUGUUAUUCGGAUAAUAACAGUGUUAUUCGGUCAUUCGUGUUACCUGACUACAAGUAUAGCACAUUAUAUAUCUUUUAAUUGGAACUUCACAAUAGUGUGUCUUCCAUUAGUUAUUCAGAGGCUAGACAGAAACUCAUACAUGAGAUAUACCUUAACACGGGAUCGUUACAUAUUGAUUUGGAACUUUUAUUGUCAAUAGAAAAAAACUACAAUUUCUCCAUCUCUAAUGAAACACUAAUGAGAUUGUUUGGUGACUUUAUUUGCGAGUCGCGCCAAUUUGAUUAAUGAAACAUUAUUAGGUCUUUCCACUUUUCUGUGAAAAGACCUAUUGUAUUUCUUCUGAUCUUUUUUUUUUCUUCCGCCUAAUUUUGUUCUUGUCAUAAACAUUUGUUUUGCAAUAUGUCGCUUAGAUAUUUCUCAUAUGGUGUCGUAUAGUUCAUGCGCUUUUAAAUUUCAUCCUGUUAAGACGAACAAUUUUCUUAGUAAGAGAACUUUAUUUCCCCGAACACGUUUUUACUGUUUUCCUUGUGCCUACAUCUCCUCCAUAACCGUAAAAGAAAGUGACAAAUUUAUUUUAUAAAAUUGCUCGUUAUAUCCUUAGCAUGAUUUGUCCUAUUUUGACUGAAGCAAUAUGAACCCUCCAAACGAGAGUUAUUUCCCCGUAUGCAUUUCCAUCUUGUAAACCAUUAGUGAUAGAGACCUAGGAUCUUUUGAUUUGAGGUCCUUGGUCCACAAAAAUAAGGUCAAGGUCAAAGGUCAAGGUCAUCUUCUAAUUUUUGAAUUUGGCUUAUUUUCACUUAUUUUAGAAAAACGUAUAAGAUAUCAACAGAUUAUUUUUACUAAAUUGUUAGUUGCGAAAUGUCGUAACACGUAAAUUUUGAUUGCAAGGGUACGUUGAACGUAAAAGGGAGUUUUCUCCCACUCUUGUAUUAAAAAAUAUGUGUAUGGUGAUAUAACUCAUUAACCAAAUAUAAUUAAGACCUAUGGUCUUUUGAUUUGAGGUCCUUGGUUUAUGACCUUGAAAUUGAUCUCAAGGUUAUAGUUUAAUUUGACGUUCUAGAUUUUGACCUUUGCUUUUACCUCAUAUGUAUACAUGAUGAAGCCAUGAGACUUUUGGCAAUAGGUUUCAAACCAUUUAACAACCGGAAGUGACCUUGUGUAAACUGAAAGUAGCUAUUUUUAUACGACCGCAAAAAUUUUAAUUUUUUUGUCGUAUAUUGCUAUCACGUUGGCGUCGUCGUCGUCCGAAUACUUUUAGUUUUCGCACUCUAACUUUAGUAAAAGUGAAUAGAAAUCAAUGAAAUUUUAACACAAGGUUUAUGACCACAAAAGGAAGGUUGGGAUUGAUUUUGGGAGUUUUGGUCCCAACAUUUUAGGAAUUAGGGGCCAAAAAGGGCCCAAAUAAGCAUUUUCUUGGUUUUCACAAUAUAACUUUAGUUUAAGUGAAUAGAAAUCUAUGAAAUUUUGACACAAGGUUUAUGACCACAAAAGGACGGUUGGGAUUGAUUUUGGGAGUUUUGGUUCCAACAGUUUAGGAAUUAAGGGCCAAAAAAGGGCCCAAAUAAGCAUUAUUCUUGGUUUUUUGCACAAUAACUUUAGUAUAAGUAAAUAGAAAUCAAUGAAAUUUAAACACAAGAUUUAUGACCACAAAAGGAAGGUUGGGAUUGAAUUUUGGAGUUGAGGUCACAACAGUUUAUGAAUAAGGGGCCAAAAAGGGGCCCAAAUAAGCAUUAUUUUUGGUUUUUGCACCAUAACUUUAGUAUAAGUAAAUAGAAAUCUAUGAAAUUUAAACACAAGGUUUAUGACCGUAAAAGGAAGGUUGGGUUUGAUUUUGGGAGUUUUGGUCCCAACAGUUUAGGAAUCAGGGGCCCAAAGGGUCCAAAAUUGAACUUUGUGUGAUUUCAUCAAAAAUUGAAAAAUUUGAUAUGCCGCAUCUAACUAUGUAUGUAGAUUCUUAAUUUUUGGUCCCCUUUUCAAAUUGGUCUACAUUAAGGUCCAAAGGGUCCAAAAUUAAACUUCGUUUGAUUUUGACAAAAAAUGAAUCCUUGGGGUUCUUUGAUAUGCUGAAUUUAAAAAUGUACUUAGAAUUUUAAUUAUUGGCCUAGUUUUCAAGUUGGUCCAAAUGGGGGUUCAAAAUUAAACUUUGUUUGAUUUCAACAAAAAUUGAAUAAAUGGGUUCCUUGAUAUGCCAAAUCUAACUGUGUAUGUAGAUUCUUAAUUUUUGGUCCAUUUUUCAAAUUGGUCUACAUUAAGGUCCAUAGGGUCAAAAAUUAAACUAAGUUUGAUUUUAACAAAAAUUAAAUUAUUGGGCUUAUUUGAUAUGCUUUAUCUAAACAUGUACUUUGAUUUUUGAUUAUGGGCCCAUUUUUCAAGUUGGUCCAAAUCAGGAUUCCAUAUCAAGUAUUGUGCAAUAGCAAGAAAUUUUCAAUUGCACAGUAUUGCACAAUAGCAAGAAAUAUCUAAUAGCACAAUAUUGUGCAAUAGCAAUUAAUUUUCAAUUGGAGUUAUCUUUCUUUGUAUAGAAUAGUAGUUGAUAAUAUAUGUUGGAAAUUUGCCAGACAUGACUAUGAUGUCAUUUUCUAUUUUUAUUUGCCAAUAACUUUAUGUAAAUAACUUCAUUGGAAAUUUGCCAAUAUAAAAUGUUGCUGAUGAAGCUUUUUUUCCUUAUCUUAUCUAAAAUGUUUUUAGAUAAGGUAUGUUGGACAUUUGCCAGACAUGACUAUGAUGUCAUUUUCUAUUUUUAUUUGCCAAUAACUUUAUGUAAAUAACUUCAUUGGAAAUUUGCCAAUAUAAAAUGUUGCUGAUGAAGCUUUUUUUCCUUAUCUUAUCUAAAAUGUUUUUAGAUAAUGUAUGUUGGACAUUUGCCAGACAUUACUAUGAUGUCAUUUUCUAUUUUUAUUUGCCAGUAACUUUAUGUAAAUAACUUCAUUGGAAAUUUGCCAAUAUAAAAUGUUGCUGAUGAAGUUUUUUUUUCCCUUAUCUUAUCUAAAAUAUUUUUAGCUUAAAAGUUGUGUCCAUAUAUACUUGUUCUCAUUUCAGAUUUCAUAAAUAAAAAGAAAAUUUCUUCAAACAUUUUUUUGACAGGACUAAUAUUCAACAGCAUAGUGAAUUGCUCAAAGGCAAAAAAAAUUUUAAGUUCAUUUGACCACAUUCAUUCUGUGUCAGAAACCUAUGCUGUGUUAACUAUUUAAUUUUAGAUUUAAAUAAGUUUGAAGAAGAAAUCUUUAAUUGAUUUGUAAAAUCUUGACAUUUGUUUUGUGUAAAAAACCCAUAUACAAAUGUAAUGUCCAAAAUUUGAUCACAAUCCAAAUUCAGAGCUGUAUCACGCUUAAAUGUUUUGUUCAUACCUGCCCCAACUGUUCAGGGAUCAACCUCUGCGGUCGUAUAAAGCUGCGCCCUGCGGAGCACCUGGUUGUACUUUAUUAAUAUAAUUUAUAAAAGUAUAUAGAACCAGAUAUUUUUGGAAUCAGUGUCAAGUAAAUAUUCAAAUAUUGUCAGAAGUAACAUUUUUCAAACCGAAAGUACCAAAAUUAUCUCCCUUAUUUAAAAAAUAUUGUAUAGAAACCAUAUAUUUUUGGCAUCAGCUUACAAUAAGCUGUCAUUUGUUGAUUGAAAUGACAUUUUAAACUUAAUUUUACUACUUUCAUAUUAAAAUACAUUGUUUUGUGUGGAAAGACCUUCAAUUGUUCUCUGAACAAUUGAUUUUUAAUUAUUAUUAUUUUUUUAUGCCCCACCUACGAUAGUAGAGGGGCAUUAUGUUUUCUGGUCUGUGCGUCCGUUCGUCCGUCUGUCCGUCCGUUCGUUCGUUCGUUCGUCCGUCUGUCCCGCUUCAGGUUAAAGUUUUUGGUCGAGGUAGUUUUUGAUGAAGUUGAAGUCCAAUCGACUUCAAACUUGGUACACAUGUUCCCUAUGAUAUGAUCUUUCUAAUUUUAAUGCCAAAUUAGAGAUUUUACCCCAAUUUCACGGUCCACUGAACAUAGAAAAUGAUAGUGCAAGUGGGGCAUUUGUGUACUGAGGACACAUUCUUGUUUUCUUUUAAUUUUCUUGUAUAGUUGAUAAAUGUAUAUUUUUAAAUUUUUGUCAAAAUAUGUUAAGUUCAGUUGCCACCUAAAAGUAUAUAUUUAUGUACGCAAGACUUGAAUAUUUACAAGGGAGACAAUCCAGUGUCAGAUUUUUUUUUUAAUUUUUUUUUAUUUUAAUUUUUUUUUGCACUUCCUGUCAGAUUUGCAGUCAGUUCAAUGUCAUGUUUGGUUAGGGUCCUGUACCCCAAAAUGAGUCAAUCUCUUUAAAGGAGCUAUAAUUGAUUCUUUGGGCAUAGUAAGAUGCGGAUCUGGAUCAGGCCGGAAACGAUUUUUUUUCUGGAAUUUACAGAAAAAAUCCAGGGUCAACUCGUGGUUUAAAGUCUGGGUUGUUCGAGAACAGGAAACAGACAUAUAUGUUUUUUUGGCCUUAGCUUGGGGACCGUAGCUCUAAUGUCCUUUUUUUUUUUUACUAUUUGCAGACCAUCUGCAAAUAGUCCAUCAAUACCUACUUGUAAAUGUCUUGUGUCAUUUUGGUCUAUUGUGGACAGUUGUCUCAUUGGCAAUCAUACCACAUCUUCUUUUUUACAUGUAAGAGCUAAGGUUCCACAGCUACACAGAUAUCGUGUUAACAAAUUAUUAAUUCUAUGAAGUCGAAAAGAAAUUUGAGUUUGAAAGAAUUGAAAUUGACCAUGCUCUUAGUUCACAAUUUCAGCGAGUAGGUUUGUUUGAGAAAUUAUACAUGACAAAUCGCCCCACUUUUUCAACAACUUGCCCCACUUCCUACAAAAUCGCCCCACUCUUGUUUACCAACUCUGUCACGUGUAGAUUAGUUUUCAUUUAUAUUCAUCUUGAUAUUACCUUUUUUCAUUAAGUGGGGCGAGAUGGCAGGAGUAAAAUAUGGGGUAUAACUUUAACCCUUUUCAGAAGUGAAGCGAGUUGGUAAAAAAGUGCGGCAAUGUGGCCAGCUUCCAUUGUCAGACAUGCAGAAAUUGGACAUGAGUUAUUUGAAUGUUCAUACAAAUGAAAUUAAUUUUACAAUGUCAAAACUUACAAAGAUUAGGAAGACUUGUUUCACAACUAUAAGAUUUAGCUCAUUCCCUGAGAAUCUUAAAGUUGUUCAAUGUAUCUUAGACUACAUUGAUAAAACAGUGAGUCUUCCUUCUAAUGAUUGUUAUCAACUGCCCAUUAGUUUUAUUAGCUCACCUGGCCUAAAAGGCCAUGUGAGCUUUUCUCAUCACUUGGCGUCCGUCGUCGUCGUCGUCGUUAACAAUUUUUCAAACAUCUUCUCCUCUGAAACUACUGAAUGGAUUUGAAUGAAACUUAGCAUGAUUGUUCCUUAGAUUAUCCUGCACAAAGUGUGUGCUUCGAUUUUUGAUCCGUCAAAAAACAUGGCCGCCGUUACUUAAAAUAGAACAUAGGGGUCAAAUGCAGUUUUUGGCUUAUAUCUCAAAAACGAAAGCAUUUAGAGCAAAUCUGACAUGGGGUAAAAAUGUUCAUUAGGUCAAGAUCUAUCAGCCCUGAAAUUUUCAGAUGAAUCAAACAAACCAUUGUUGGGUUGCUGCCCCUUAAUUGGUAAUUUUAAGGAAAUUUUGCAGUUUUUGGUCAUUAUCUUGAAUAUUAUUAUAGAUAAAGAUAAACUGUAAACAGCAAAAAUGAUCAGCAAAGUAAGAUCUACAAAUAAGUUAAUAUGACCAAAAUUGUCAAUUGACUCCUUAAGGGGUUAUUGUCCUUUAAUGACAAUUUUUCACAAUUUGUUCAUCAUAUUUUGCUAACUUUUAAAAAAUCUUCUCCUCUGAAACUACUGAAUGGAUUUGAAUGAAACUUAGCAUGAUUGUUCCUUAGAUUAUCCUGCACAAAGAUUGUGCUUUGAUUUUUGAUCCGUCAAAAAACAUGGCCACUGUUACUUAAAAUAGAACAUAGGGGUCAAAUGCAGUUUUUGGCUUAUAUCUCAAAAACGAAAGCAUUUAGAGCAAAUCUGACAUGGUGUAAAAAUGUUCAUUAGGUCAAGAUCUAUAAGCCCUGAAAUUUUCAGAUGAAUCAAACAAACCAUUGUUGGGUUGCUGCCACUUAAUGGGUAAUUUUAAGGAAAUUUUGCAGUUUUUGGUCAUUAUCUUGAAUAUUAUUAUAGAUAAAGAUAAAACUGUAAACAGCAAAAAUGAUCAGCAAAGUAAGAUCUACAAAUAAGUUAAUAUGACCAAAAUUGUCAAUUGGCCCCUUAAGGGGUAUUGUCCUUUAAUGACAAUUUUUCACAAUUUGUUCAUCAUAUUUGCUAACUUUAAAAAAUCUUCUCCUCUAAAACUACUAAACCAAAUUCAACCAAACUUCAACUAAAGGAUCAGUAGGGUGUAUAAAAUAAAGUUUGUGCUUUAUUUUUUAUUUCGUCAGAAAACAUGGCCGUCAUGGCUAAAAAUAGAACACAGGGUAAAAUGCAGUUUUUGGCUUAUAUCUCAAAAACUCCAGCAUUUAGAGCAAAUAAGACAAGAAGUUAAAGUAUUUAUUAGGUCAAGGUCUACCUGUCCUGAAAUUUUCAGCCGAAUUGGGUUACUGGUUUUUCAGGUAUAAUGCCCCUGAAUUGAUGAUUUUAAAGAAAUUUUGCAGUUUUUGGUUAUUAUCUUGAUAUUUAUUAUAGAUACAGAUAAACUGUUUAUAGCAAAAAUGUUAAGCAAAGUAAGAUCAACAAAUAAGUCAAUUUGACCAAAAUUGUCAAUUGACCCCUGAAGGAGUUAUUGCCCUUUAAAGACUUUUUUCACAAUUUGUUCAUCAUGUAGACUUACUUUAAAAAAUCUUCUCCUUUGAAACUGCUGUAUCAAUUUCAGCCAAACUUAGGCUAAAUGAGUCAUGUGAGUUUCAGAGUAUCUAGUAUAAAUUUAAUAUUUCAUUUCCUUGUAUGUCAGAAACAUAGCUCCUAUGGCUAAAAUAGAACAUAGGAGAAAAUGAUUUUUUUUUUGCUUUUGAAGAAAAUAGGACGAUUCAAAGAACAUUUAAAUAAAUUGAAAAGCCAAAAUAAUCAUUGAUGAGAGAUUUAACCAAAAAAAUUAAGGUGAGCCUGUUAAACCUCACAAACCAGUCAUAUCAUGCACAAUUCAAUUGCCUAUUGGUUAAAACGUAUACAAGAAUCUGCAGACGUAGAUACUGAUAUUUUCAAACAACAUUCAACUCGGGUUGUUCACUAAAACAAACAAGUACAGAACCUAGACUUUGUUUUUGCUUAAAUUAAAAUAUAUAAUAAAUUGAUAAAGAUAAGCAAGGAUUUGUAUAGAAAUCUUUGAUAUUUAUAGAAUAACUGAUCGAAGAAUUGAAAAAGAGAAAAAUAUUCAACGAGUGACCAAUCAACACAUUAAUUCACGAAUGCGCGUAGCGCAUGAGUUAAUUAUCAGUGUUGUUCAGUCACGAGUUAAAUAUUUUUCGAUAUUUGAUUUCCUUUAUUAGUUAUUCUUUUUAUUACAUUGGCAAAUGGUCUUUUUAAAGAAAUUAAAGUAAAACAUGUAAGGAACUGUAUCUUUUUUCUACGCAUUUACAAUUUGUUUUGAUCUGCCGUUAUCAACGUCUUGGCAACGCCUAUUGUUGUAUGACGUCAGAGAGUGUAUUUCACAUAAGAAAUUAUCGGUUUUUAUUUAACAGGGAAAUCAAUGUAAUUCAUUGCAACCAAUGUAAUAAAAGUAAAUAUUUGUACUCACAUUUAACGUACAAUAUUGUUAUAAGACUGCCAAAAAAAUAUGCAAUCAUAUAUUGGUAUCACGUCGUUGUCGUCAGCGUUGUCUUUGUCUGAAGACAUUUGGUUUCAGGACAAUAACUUGUGUAUAAGUAAAUAGAAAUCUAUGAAAUUCAAACACAAGGUUUAUAACCACAAAAGGAAGGUUGGGAUGGAUUAACAGUUUAUGAAUUAGGGGCCUAAAUACAUUUUAGCAUUUUUCUAGUUUUCAGACAAUAACUUGUAGAACUAUGUAUGGAUCUCUCUGAAAUUAUACCACAAGUUUCCUUACAACGAAUUGAUGGUUAAGAUUUACUUUUGGGGGUUAUGGCUAAAACCAUUCAGAAAAAAGGGUAAAAACAAGGGUGUGUCCUGGUUAAUGGACAAUUAUUUAAGUACAAUGUUGUGUUUGAAUUACCUCCCUUACACUGCUUUUAAAUUAUGUAUAAAGAAAUGUUGUAAUGUCUUGAGAUGAUAAGCUGUCAAUUUAUUAUUAGAACUUACUGUUUUAAAAAUGCUGAUUAAACGGGCAGUGGCGAGGAGAUAGAUAUAAAAAUCUGAUUUGAUUUUUUUGCUCAGACAUUUAAUAAUGAUAUGCAAAUAGUGAAAUAAUAAUUCGCUUUUAACCGUCAGUAUAUAUAUAUGGUUUAAUUUUGUCAAAAUAAUCUAAAAAAACAUUGAUUAUGAAUUAUUCACUCGCAAGUGAAUAAUUUGACUUCGUUGAAUCCGAAUUCAUGUGAACUUCAAUUUAACCCCUUAGCUUGAGAUGGAUAACAAGAAAAUUGUAUGUGCAAAGUUAUUUAAAGGAAAACAAUAUCAACAGUGAAAGUGAAACAAAGGUAAAUUAUUUGGAUGACUGAUUCUAUCCUAUUCUCAAAAGAUCAUUCUUAUACACGUAAAAAUGAUGACAAAACAUUUAUUUUUCAUCUUUAAUAUGAAAUUAAACGGAACUAGAAUAAUCCAACAGCAUGAGUUUGCUUAAUCUAUUUAUAUUUAUAUUUAUGUUUACAUCGCUUAUAUGGUCAUCAGAUAACUUUAGAGGUUAAUUCGAUGAUUAAUUAGAUGGCAUCUAGACUAAAAUAACACAAAACGAAGCUACAUAUUUUCAUGCCCAUGCCCUGUUCAUUGUUUAUUUUAAACUUAAUAGUUUGGAUAAAUGUUUUACAUUGUUAUAAAUCAAAUAUCAGAAUUUGAUUAAAAUUGGUGGACAUGUACAUGAAUUUGACAGCUAGUGCCCCUUUUAAUAAGGUACAUUAAUUUUAGUGGCUAUAGCCAUGAUUAUUCAUGUCAUUUUUUUUUUAUGACUUUUAUGAUAUAUUUAAAUGGGCAACUCCAUAGGAAAUUUGAAUUGAGAUCCUGACCAUAUAUUGAGGUAAAGAAUUUGUGGGAAAGAGGGGGGGGACAAUUUUUUUCUCAAGAUUUGAGAAAUUAAAAUGUAAAUUUUUUCAAAUUUUUUUUUUCAACAAAAAAAGGGGGGGGGGGUCAAUUCACAAUGGCAUAGUGUAUUGCACAAUAAAAAAAGAUGGGGUAAAUUAAUUUAUUUUUCAGGGGGCGGGGGGCAAUUCGCUACAGCAUGGUGUAUUGCUCAAAAGCAAAAAAUUGAAUAUUAAUUAUAUAAUCAAUUCCAAGUUCUAUACAGUUUUUCUGUGUCAGAAACCUAUUAUUUGUCAAAUAUUUAAUUACAAAUGUAACAAUCCAAAGUCAGACCUGUAUCAAGCCUUAUACUGUGUUUAUGUUUGCCCAAACUGUUCAGAGUUGAACCUCUGCAGUCGUAUCCAGCUGUGCUCGACGAAGCAAUUUAUUGUAUCAUGUUUUGCAAAUUCACAACAUGCUGAAAUGAUGUAUAAUGUAAAAUAAUUAAAUGUUCAAUGAAUUACAAGUUUCCUCUUGCAAAACAGUAGUAAAUCAAAUAUACACGAAAAUGCCAAACAAUUUUUUAUUGCAGACAUUAUUUUAUGUCACAUAAUCAAAGAAACUUGAUCCUCUGGCCUGUGCAUGGCAAAACUGAUAACAUUAAUUAUUGAACUUUGGAUUAUUUUAAACAGAAGCAUGAUUUCCUUAUUGACUUUAGUACUUAUUUUAUGUGUGACCUUUGACAUGACACCAAAGUCAAGUGACUUGAGAUUCUAAAAGUAAAUAUUUUGUUACAAUCAUGAUAAUUAAUAACAGGAAAUUCUCACUUGUUCUCUUGAUCCAUAAGGGUAUUAUAAUCAAUUAGUUCAAGUGAACUUUUAACCAGUGAACUCUAGAAGUUUGUAUAUUUAAUUUAAAUUUAGGGUAAAGUUCAAAAAUGCCUUUUCCUUCAAUCAUUGUUAUAAUUGUAAAAAGGUUAAUUUUAGAUCAACAAUUGUUUCAAUUCCUUAAUUUAGUCAGAGUAAUAAAAAGAUAAUAAUGAAAUAUAUCAUGAUUCAAAAGACAGAUUUAAAAAAUAUUAAACAUGAUUCAUAUAAAGGUAAAAAAUAAAUUGAGAAUCUGAAUAUAUUCAUAAAAAAGGGACGAAGAAUAUUUAAAUUACCAAAAAUUUCUACUACCUGACAUGCCUGAAUUCCUACAAUUUUGCAAGAAAUGAUAUAUAUACCAACCACAGGAUAUUUUAUUGGGGGAUUGUACUGUUCCAUCAUGUUCAUAAUUUUAAUGGAAGAAAACAACAGUGAGCCAAAUUGAAAUAAAUCCAAAGCAAAUUAUUGCACUGUCAUAACUAUACUUUUAUGCUCUAUUUCUUUUAUGUUUUUUGUAGAAUUAUCCCUCCAUGAGACCCUCAGUCAGAGGAGAACACACUGUUGAUAUUCCAGAAGGACAAUAUGGAGUUCCUAAUGUCAUGCUUCAUGGGUAAGAGGAUUCUAUGUUAUAUACCCUUAUAUAAUAACUCUAUAUAAAUAAAAGAUGUUUGGGUAAACUCAAAGAAGACUAAAGCUCAUCAAACUCC